CGUUAACUUCGGGAGAAGGUGUGUACCCACCUUUAGCGUUGAACUUUUGAAACUAGUAAGGGGAGUCCGUAGGUAAGUCGGUUUGCUAGAGAAAACGGGGGUUAGUUUGAACCUCGUUUACUAAAACUAGCUACUCUGCGAAGUCGGAAAGAACGACGUUAUAGGGUGUAGACUGCCUGCCCGGUGCUGGAGGUUAAGGGGACUUCGUCAGCGCUAAGUUCGAAGCGAUUGAAACCGAAGACCCCAGUAAACGGCGGUCCGUAAACUAUAACGGUUACCUAAGGUAGCGAAAUUCCUUGUCGGGUAAGUUCCGACCUGCACGGAAUGGCAUAACAACAUCCCCGCUCGUACUCGACCUAGGGACUCAGCCGAAAUUGUACUGGGGGUGAAGAUACCCUUCUAACCCGCCGGGUCAAGGACGGAAAAGACCCCAUGAACCCUUUUAACUGCAACUUGGCAGUGAAUUUCGGACUACUCUUGCUAGGAUAGUGGAGCGAUGACUACGGCUUCUGGGUUCGGAGUUAGCCGUUUAGUUAGUAAAUUUACACCUGGGUGUUCUCGGGAUUCUAACCUUGUCGUCUUGUUGAACCAGACGGGGGACACUGUACCUAGGUACGGGACAGUUUUGACG
rnacentral:rRNA from 1 species